rnacentral:other from 1 species
GGGGCGCUGCGGGAUGCGUUAUGUGUAACUUUCCCUGGGGCCGAUACCUUCCUUUAGGGAGCUGUUCCUGCCUUGAUCCGUGGAUUAGGGCAUAUGGCACCCACCUGCAUACGCGGGCCACACGAGGACAUUAAUCGCAAACGGUCAUUGCGGCCCCCUC